rnacentral:rRNA from 1 species
UGGGGAAUAUUGGACAAUGGGGGAAACCCUGAUCCAGCGAUGCCGCGUGAGUGAAGAAGGCCUUCGGGUUGUAAAGCUCUUUCAGUGGGGAAGAUAAUGACGGUACCCACAGAAGAAGGACCGGCUAACUUCGUGCCAGCAGCCGCGGUAAUACGAAGGGUCCUAGCGUUGUUCGGAAUUACUGGGCGUAAAGGGCGCGUAGGCGGCCUAUUAAGUCAGGUGUGAAAGCCCCGAGCUUAACUUGGGAACUGCACUUGAUACUGGUAGGCUAGAGAUCGGAAGAGGUGAGUGGAAUUCCUAGUGUAGAGGUGAAAUUCGUAGAUAUUAGGAAGAACACCAGUGGCGAAGGCGGCUCACUGGUCCGAUACUGACGCUAAGGCGCGAAAGCGUGGGGAGCAAA